rnacentral:rRNA from 1 species
GACGAACGCUGGCGGCGUGCUUAACACAUGCAAGUCGAACGGAAAGGCCUGCUUUCCCUUGUGGAUUGCGGGUACUCGAGUGGCGAACGGGUGAGUAACACGUGAGUGAUCUGCCCCCAACUUGGGUAUAAGCCUGGGAAACUGGGUCUAAUUCCCGAUAGGACUGCAGGGUGGUGCCUGUGGUGGAAAACGAUUUUCUAGUGGUUGGGGAUGAGCUCGCGGCCUAUCAGCUUGUUGGUGGGGUAAUGGCCUACCAAGGCGGCGACGGGUAGCCGGCCUGAGAGGGUGGACGGCCGCAUUGGGACUGAGAUACGGCCCAGACUCCUACGGGAGGCAGCAGUGGGGAAUAUUGCACGAGGGGCGGAAGCCUGAUGCAGCGACGCCGCGUGGGGGAUGACGGCCUUCGGGUUGUAAACUCCUUUCGACCGCGAGGAAGCCACCUGGUUGGAAGGGUGGUGACGGUAGUGGUAGAAGAAGCACCGGCUAACUACGUG